rnacentral:RNase_P_RNA from 3 species
CGAGUCGGUUGGGCGAUCGCUCUUCACCUGGUGGAGGGAGGAAAGUCCGGGCUCCACAGGGCAGGGUGCCAGAUAACUUCUGGGGGGCGCGAGCCUACGGAAAGUGCAGCAGAAAGGAAACCGCCUCUGCGUGCAGAGGUAAGGGUGAAAAGGUGCGGUAAGAGCGCACCGCGCGGCUGGUAACAGGCGCGGCGAUGGUAAACCCCACUCGGAGCAAGACCAAAUAGGAACUCGUGUGCCGCGGCCCGCGGUGGGUUCGGGUAGGUCGCUUCAGGCAGCUGGUGACAGUUGUCGCAGAUGAAUGGUCGUCCACGACAGAACCCGGCUUACAGACCGACUCGCUUA